AUGGCGGGCAAAGAAAUCGAGAUCGAGGCUGUGAAGCAGAUGAAGAUCAUCACGAGGCAAUUGGAGGCCUUCACACACCAACGAGCGGAGGACCAGCCGCUCCUUGCCGAGCUGGUUCGGGUUCCGGCGUUCCGCACUUCCAGAAGCUCGACUUCCCAACAUAUGAUGGCUCGGUCGAUCCUCUUGGUUGGCUCAAUAGGCGCGAGCACAGACGAGGCCGACAGCGUCUGGACUGCAGCCUACCACCUCAUCAAUGAUGCUCACUUCCGGUACUUACAGCUUGAGUGUGAUUUCGGCAUCACCGACAUGGUAGCAGUUGAAGGAGGCUUGCCACGUUCAGUUUAG
rnacentral:rRNA from 1 species